GCCGGAGUGGUGAAACUGGUAGACGCAGAGGACUCAAAAUCCUCCGGGCCUUGUGCCCUUGGGGGUUCAAUUCCCCCCUCCGGCACCA
rnacentral:tRNA from 1 species